rnacentral:siRNA from 1 species
UUGGAUUAUGGUGCUGAUGUGU